GACGAACGCUGGCGGCGUGCUUAACACAUGCAAGUCGAACGGAAAGGCCCUGCUUUUGUGGGGUGCUCGAGUGGCGAACGGGUGAGUAACACGUGAGUAACCUGCCCUUGACUUUGGGAUAACUUCAGGAAACUGGGGCUAAUACCGGAUAGGAGCUCCUGCUGCAUGGUGGGGGUUGGAAAGUUUCGGCGGUUGGGGAUGGACUCGCGGCUUAUCAGCUUGUUGGUGGGGUAGUGGCUGACCAAGGCUUUGACGGGUAGCCGGCCUGAGAGGGUGGACGGCGACAAUGGGACUGAGAUACGGCCCAGACGCCUACGGGAGGCAGCAGUGGGGAAUAUUGCACAAUGGGCGGAAGCCUGAUGCAGCAACGCCGCGUGCGGGAUGACGGCCUUCGGGUUGUAAACCGCUUUCGCCUGUGACGAAGCGUGAGUGACGGUAAUGGGUAAAGAAGCACCGGCUAACUACGUG
rnacentral:rRNA from 1 species